AACAUAGCUUUUCUUGCAUACAUACCAACUCUAGAUUAUGCCUUCGCCUCCUCUUAAAUGCAAAGCUAAAUGUCCGCUUCGCUUUUCCUCAUAUGCCUCGGAAAUCACUGUCAUGUCUAUAUCAAGGAAUUAUAAAGUUCUAAGCUAACCUUUUCUUUUAUAAUCACAAAGCUACUUCUUCCUUCUUCAAUGCCCCUGAAAUAUAUAUGCUAAGUUCUAUUUCACUCAUACGAACUUUAUAUCAUGCCUUCAACUCCUCUCAAUGCCCCUGAAAUAUAUAUGCUAAGUUCUCUUCCACUCAUAUGAACUUCAGAUUAUGCCUUCAACUCCUCUUAAAUGCAAAGCUAAAUGUCCGCUUCGCUUUUCCUCAUAUGCCUCGGAAAUCACUGUCAUGUCUAUAUCAAGGAAUUAUAAAGUUCUAAGCUAACCUUUUCUUUUAUAAUCACAAAGCUACUUCUUCCUUCUUCAAUGCCCCUGAGAUAUAUAUGCUAAGUUCUCUUCCACUCAUACGAACUUUAUAUUAUGCCUUCAACUCCUCUUCAAUGCCCCUGAAAUAUAUAUGCUAAGUUCUCUUUCAUGCGAACUUCAGAUUAUGCCUUCAACUCCUCUUCAAUGCCCCUGAAAUAUAUAUGCUAAGUUCUCUUUCAUGCGAACUUCAGAUUAUGCCUUCAACUCCUCUUCAAUGCCCCUGAAAUAUAUAUGCUAAGUUCUCUUCCACUCAUACGAACUUUAUAUUAUGCCUUCGCCUCCUCUUAAAUGCAAAGCUAAAUGUCCGCUUCGCUUUUCCUCAUAUGCCUCGGAAAUCACUGUCAUGUCUAUAUCAAGGAAUUAUAAAGUUCUAAUCUAACCUUUUCUUUUAUAAUCACAAAGCUACUUCUUCCUUCUUCAAUGCCCCUGAAAUAUAUAUGCUAAGUUCUCUUCCACUCAUACGAACUUUAUAUUAUGCCUUCAACUCCUCUUCAAUGCCCCUGAAAUAUAUAUGCUAAGUUCUCUUCCUCUCAUACGAACUUUAGAUUAUGCCUUCAACUCCUCUUCAAUGCCCCUGAAAUAUAUAUGCUAAGUUCUCUUCCACUCAUACGAACUUCAGAUUAUGCCUUCAACUCCUCUUCAAUGCCCCUGAAAUAUAUAUGCUAAGUUCUCUUCCACUCAUACGAACUUUAUAUUAUGCCUUCAACUCCUCUUCAAUGCCCCUGAAAUAUAUAUGCUAAGUUCUCUUCCACUCAUACGAACUUUAGAUUAUGCCUUCAACUCCUCUUCAAUGCCCCUGAAAUAUAUAUGCUAAGUUCUCUUCCACUCAUACGAACUUCAGAUUAUGCCUUCAACUCCUCUUCAAUGCCCCUGAAAUAUAUAUGCUAAGUUCUCUUCCACUCUACGAACUUUAUAUUAUGCCUUCAACUCCUCUUCAAUGCCCCUGAAAUAUAUAACCCAAGUCUUUCUUCUAUUAACUUUGAGUGAAAAAUGCCUUUGCUUCCUCUUAAAUGCCCCUGAAAUAAAUGUCAUACCAAGUUACUUCUUCACUCUCUUCAAUGCCUUGCUCUUGAAAUUAAUGUUAUGUUAAGCUAUAUCUUCAUUUUCUCAUAUUCCCCAGAAAUUAAUAUGCCAAGCUUUUCUUUCAGUAACUCGGAGCAAAAAUUUCCUUUCUUAAUAUCUUCCCCAAAUAAAAAAUAUGGUACAGUUAGCGCAGAGGUUCUCAAACUGGGUGCCGUGGACAGUGCCUAGGGGUGCCACAGAAAGGGUUUAUAUAAGUUCAGGGUGCCACAGAAAGGGUUUAUAUAAGUUCAGGGUGCCACAGAAAGGUUUAUAUAAGUUCAGGGUGCCACAGAAAGGGUUUAUAUAAGUUCAGGGUGCCACAGAAAGGUUUAUAUAAGUUCAGGGUGCCACAGAAAGGCUUAUAUAAGUUCAGGGUGCCACAGAAAGGCUUAUAUAAGUUCAGGGUGCCACAGAAAGGGUUUAUAUAAGUUCAGGGUGCCACAGAAAGGCUUAUAUAAGUUCAGGGUGCCACAGAAGGGUUUAUAUAAGUUCAGGGUGCCACAGAAAGGCUUAUAUAAGUUCAGGGUGCCACAGAAGGGUUUAUAUAAGUUCAGGGUGCCACAGAAAGGCUUAUAUAAGUUCAGGGUGCCACAGAAGGGUUUAUAUAAGUUCAGGGUGCCACAGAAGGGUUUAUAUAAGUUCAGGGUGCCACAGAAGGGUUUAUAUAAGUUCAGGGUGCCACAGAAGGGCUUAUAUAAGUUCAGGGUGCCACAGAAGGGUUUAUAUAAGUUCAGGGUGCCACAGAAGGGUUUAUAUAAGUUCAGGGUGCCACAGAAGGGUUUAUAUAAGUUCAGGGUGCCACAGAAGGGUUUAUAUAAGUUCAGGGUGCCACAGAAGGGUUUAUAUAAGUUCAGGGUGCCACAGAAGGGUUUAUACAAGUUCAGGGUGCCACAGAAGGGUUUAUAUAAGUUCAGGGUGCCACAGAAAGGUUUAUACAAGUUCAGGGUGCCACAGAAGGGUUUAUACAAGUUCAGGGUGCCACAGAAGGGUUUAUACAAGUUCAGGGUGCCACAGAAGGGUUUAUAUAAGUUCAGGGUGCCACAGAAGGGUUUAUAUAAGUUCAGGGUGCCACAGAAGGGUUUAUACAAGUUCAGGGUGCCACAGAAGGGUUUAUACAAGUUCAGGGUGCCACAGAAGGGUUUAUACAAGUUCAGGGUGCCACAGAAGGGUUUAUAUAAGUUCAGGGUGCCACAGAAGGGCUUAUACAAGUUCAGGGUGCCACGGAAGGGCUUAUAUAAGUUCAGGGUGCCACAGAAGGGUUUAUAUAAGUUCAGGGUGCCACAGAAGGGUUUAUACAAGUUCAGGGUGCCACAGAAGGGUUUAUAUAAGUUCAGGGUGCCACAGAAGGGUUUAUAUAAGUUCAGGGUGCCACAGAAGGGUUUAUAUAAGUUCAGGGUGCCACAGAAAGGGUUUAUAUAAGUUCAGGGUGCCACGGAAGGGCUUAUAUAAGUUCAGGGUGCCACGGAAGGGUUUAUAUAAGUUCAGGGUGCCACAGAAGGGUUUAUAUAAGUUCAGGGUGCCACAGAAGGGUUUAUAUAAGUUCAGGGUGCCACAGAAGGGUUUAUAUAAGUUCAGGGUGCCACAGAAGGGUUUAUAUAAGUUCAGGGUGCCACGGAAGGGCUUAUAUAAGUUCAGGGUGCCACAGAAGGGUUUAUAUAAGUUCAGGGUGCCACAGAAGGGCUUAUAUAAGUUCAGGGUGCCACAGAAGGGUUUAUACAAGUUCAGGGUGCCACAGAAGGGUUUAUAUAAGUUCAGGGUGCCACAGAAGGGUUUAUAUAAGUUCAGGGUGCCACAGAAGGGUUUAUAUAAGUUCAGGGUGCCACAGAAGGGUUUAUAUAAGUUCAGGGUGCCACAGAAGGGUUUAU